GGGGGGGGGGGGGGGAGAAAAAUGAUAAGGAGAAGAGCUGAGACACAUGAAUGCAUUAGGUUUAUUACAAAUAAACACUCCUUAAAAUAUACCAAUGACAACGACGGUUUCUAAAUUCCAGAGAAACAAGCCACAAGAGGGCGAUGGAGGAUAGAGAGACGGGGAGCAGGGUGUACCGAGAGGGGUCUACAGGGGGCGCAACAACUCCAGGGACAAGAAGGAGCGGAGCGUCGGCCAGGCAAACUCAAAGCCAAACUAGACUAAUAAGUGCUGCACUAAUUAAGCCCAACUAAACUACUAGGCCUAGUUAAAAAAGAUAAAUAACACUUGUUAACAGGUAAAAGUGAACAUGUUUUUAUCUUUUUGUUAACAUGCUAUUUCAAAGAUAAUCUAAACUACUAGCCACCAGGUGAACUAACAUCUUACAUUAAUGGAGGGGUCCACGUGUCCCCAUUUCUAUCGUAACAGCAGCAGAGGGAGAGAAAGUUCUCACGGUUAAAGAAGACAAUGUCCACCAUCUAUCGCUGUCAUCUAGUUGUAACAUAAGUAUAUUUGUUGUAACGGAUAUAAUCAAAAAUAUAUAUUGUUACCUGGCCAGCCAUGUCGCAGAGCUGCAGUCUCACUGGUUUACCAUCGACCACUACCAUCACUGCAGAGAUGGAAGAGGACAUAAUUAAUCCCAUGAAAUGAGGGAUACUAGGCUAAAGAAUAGGAUACCUGUGAAGUUGUCAAAAGCUGUGGGAAUAUAUUCCGCCGGGUAUCCAUUGGUGGUGUAGCUGACGACCAGGCUGGUCUUCCCCACAGCCCCGUCGCCCACCAGCACGCAGUUCACCCUGCGCUCCGGGACCGACCCGGACCGCUUGCGCUUCGCGCUCAGAGGGAAGUCCCGGUUCUUCACACGGCGCACCGGAAUCGGCGCAUCGUCGAGGGGGAACACCGGGUCCGAAACACGGCGGUUCUUGUGGAACCCCAGAUCUUGUGGGAGCAUGGUUCACCAACUCGGAAAUAAGAUAAGACUUGGGUAUCACAGCUAUGUGUGAAAAUAGUCAACCCAAUGUUUCCGUUAUUUUAACUCACAGGACUCACAGGAAGACUGGCGGGUGAUUGCACCUCGCAGCAGGGGACCUGGGUGGGUGUUGUGUACAUCUGGUGUGCUCACGGUCUUGGUUCACGGUCCUAAUAAUAAGAGGCUUAGCCGGGGACCGUGCGAGAUGCGCGCCCGAGGGCUUUCCAAGUGAAAUGGACUAAUCUGCUUGAAACCCUUAUCUCCUCCUGGAGUAAAACGUUCUGCAGGCCACUUCUACUUCCUCCCCCAUCAGAGCAGUUCAAACCAACACAUAAUCUGCAAUAUAUGCUGUACUUUGUUUGGUUGUUUGGUUAUCAUCAUCAGCUUUUUGGAUGACCACUUUUUCAUCGUUCCGUUGAUUAAUGUUCGCCUGCCUGAUGCAUUUUAUGAUGGCACGUCCUUGUGUUGUAACAGUUGUUUUUACUUUAUGUGGUCCUUUAAAACAGAAGUUAAAAUCGUCUUCCCUCACUCGGCCCAUACAGGCUUUAUAAAGAGUUCGUGCGCCCCCUAGUGAGUACAGUCGUACUACAAUUUCUACAUACCUAAAGUACAUACUAGACCUGAAAUAGAAACUAGAUAUCUAAUCUGUGAUCCAAUUCCAACCAGAUGAUCCCAGAUUAUCUAGGUAUUAUCUAUAAUUUUUCAUAGGGCCGUAAUGCAGGACACCCAGUACCUUGUAGGCCUAGCACCAACCAGAACUAAAGCCCUUUAGAAUGCUUUCAGCAUGUUUUCAAGGUUAAUACCAUACUGUUUAUUAGUAACCACUACCCUGCCCAUUAUUGUUAAUGUGUAUACCUCUUGUAAUUAAUUAUGAUAACCUCCAUGUUGCUGGUGAAAUCUAGCCAUCUAUGGUUUCUGUCUGUCAUAUUGAUCCAUGAUAUUUUAUUUAUCAAUGCAUUAGUUUAGAACUUCUUUUGUUUAUCCCUAACAAAAAACAUCAAAAAGUUAUCUCUCCCUGAAAUAAAAUCCCAGAUAAACCCUAGUAACCGUUAAUUGCACUUCCUGAAUAAACACAUCAAACCAUGUGCACUUCCUGAAUACACACAUCAACCCAUUUGUACUUCCUGUAUAAACAUCAACAUUAACCCAUCUUUACUUCCUUAAUAACAUCAACAUUAACCCAUGUGCACUUCCUGAAUAAAAACAUCAACAUUAACCCAUGUGCACCUCCUGAAUAAACACAUCAACAUUAACCCAUCCCUGCUACCUGUAUAAACAACAAAGUUAACCCAUCUGUACUUCCUGAAUAAACAAAUAAAAAAUAACCAAUCUGUACUUCCUGAAUAAACACCAACAUUAA